GAUGAACGCUGGCGGCGUGCCUAAUACAUGCAAGUCGAGCGAACAGACGAGGAGCUUGCUCCUCUGACGUUAGCGGCGGACGGGUGAGUAACACGUGGAUAACCUACCUAUAAGACUGGGAUAACUUCGGGAAACCGGAGCUGAUACCGGAUAAUAUAUUGAACCGCAUGGUUCAAUAGUGAAAGACGGUUUUGCUGUCACUUAUAGAUGGAUCCGCGCCGCAUUAGCUAGUUGGUAAGGUAACGGCUUACCAAGGCAACGAUGCGUAGCCGACCUGAGAGGGUGAUCGGUCACACUGGAACUGAGACACGGUCCAGACUCCUACGGGAGGCAGCAGUAGGGAAUCUUCCGCAAUGGGCGAAAGCCUGACGGAGCAACGCCGCGUGAGUGAUGAAGGUCUUCGGAUCGUAAAACUCUGUUAUUAGGGAAGAACAAAUGUGUAAGUAACUAUGCACGUCUUGACGGUACCUAAUCAGAAAGCCACGGCUAACUACGUG
rnacentral:rRNA from 1 species